ACCGAAGAGAAUAAAAAUAGCCGAGCACGUUCAACUUUGGCAAUGUACUGAAAUAUUAAAAAAAAAAAAAAAGAAAAAAGAAAAUUUCGCUUUCCGUUUUCGAUACUUUUAUCGGACGCGACUAUUUUAAGACGUCCUACUACUGAACUGGAACAACGGCUCGCAUCUAAUAGAAUACUGAUGACGCUACGUUGCGGUUCUUAGUCCGAUUUAACAAUGUUCCUCGACGAACGAUCGAAUAAAAAAGGAAAGAGAAAAGGAAGCAAAAGGAGAAACGUAGGAGAAAAGAGAGGGAAAAGGGUUAGAGGCCAGUUAAUCCUCGUCAGCUGCUACUCGUCCCUCCAGUGACACCAAUUUCCUCAACAGCGGACGUAAAACCGAACGAUAACGAUCCUCCGGCUUACAUCCACCUCUGUUGCUCGAAUAUCGUCAAAGAUGUCUUGCGCAAUUCGACCAAACGGAUUGGCUAUUAUAUAUCGU
rnacentral:misc_RNA from 1 species